UUCUGAAGUAAGCAACGUGGUAAACAAGUGUAACCCACCCAAAAUUGGCAGUAUCUGCUGUGCACAGGCAAAGACAAUGUGAGGGCUCCACUGUCUUUCAGAUUUCUCUCUCCAAGAAAGCAGCAGGUCACUUGUAUAGCAGUUUGGAUCUCAGGUUCUUCAAACCACACUAGAAACAGCACCAUGAAUGAUAGAAGCCAGGUGUUCUAAGGUGAACAGGGCCUCCCACUUACUGCCCUGUGUUUGUGGGUAAAAUCACUUACAUUCUCCAAGUCUCAGUUUCUUUAUCUAUAAGUGGAAAUAACCUCUUCCUCACAGGCUUGUUGUGAAAAUACGUGGAAUAAUGCACUUAAAGCUGUUAGCACAGAACCUGGCACAUAACAAAUACAUGCCCAAUAAGUGUGCUACUUUUAUUAUUAAAGUUUCAGUGAGGGGGAGCAUAGUGGAGAAGGAAAGAGAAAUUUCAAAACAACUGUGGUUUGAACCCCAGGUCUGCCACCAAAGAUGCAUAUCUGAGAAAGGCAAAGAGACAGAGGGAGAGAGAGAGUCCCCUACGGGUAUAGUGCCCUGCCCUCCUUGAUAUACUAAAUUCACCCAAUAUUUAGGAGACAGUAUUAUGAGAAGGGCCACAAUUCCUGGUUUAAAUCAUCAAGUACCCAGGUGACAGAUUACACAGAGUGCGAGAAAUGAUUUGUCCAAUAAUUCACAGUUAAGAGUGGCUAACAAGAGACUCAGGACCAGGACUUCUGGCCCAAAUCUGGGCUGUUUCAUAUUUGUAGAAUAGUUUCCUAAAUAUUUUACUCCAUCUAGGUAUGCAAACAACUCCAUUUGUUUUAAGACAAUUAUUGGCAAGAAGCCUGCAAAGAACCUUCAAAACAAAUGGAUACUGGGGAAAGGGGAGGUGUUUGGCAAGAAUUCGCUAAGAACCAGAAUCCAGCCCCAAGACCUCCAGUCUGGGAAAACUGUAGCAAGACCCCUAAAGCCAGGGCUCUUGCUGGCGGGGAAGGCAAAACUUGCCAGCCCUGCCCUGAAGCUUGGGAAGAAGCUGAGUUUGUGUUCCCCUCCCUCCAGUUUGGGCACUGAAUUUCUCAGAACAGCCGUUACCAUGACUGCAACCUCUCGCAGGGGUGAGGAAAUGGAAUGCACAGACAAAUAGUUAGAAGCUGGAAGUCAUCCUAAGCUAGAAUCUGUGCAUUUGCUCCCUUUGAACCUCUCAGAAACAGGGACACAUGAAAUUUGUUCUUUGUAUCCGAUGACAAGAACCUGAGAGAACAAUUGGAUAUUCACCCAUUGCCUGCAGCAUCAGUGAGGAAGAAUCACUUUUCAUAGCCAACCAGGUUACAGAGUAGAAGAAAUGAUGCAAGAAUUAGCAGACACAGAAGAUAAUGACUGAAACUCUGCCCUAGCACCAUGGCAGUCUGAAAGGAUCUCCACACUUUCUCAGGAAUAGUCAGCCCUCGGAUCUAGCAUGACGGUUACAAAUAGAGCAACAGCUCAAUGACCGAAUUAAACUAACUACUGGAAGAAAUAUAGACCCCCAUUCAGGCUUAUUCCAGUGUCAGUGUGGCAAAUGGCCUUGAUGAGCUAGGAUCUGAAAAGGAACCAAAAGAAGGAAGAAAAAAACCCCACAGACAAAAUAAAAGCAUAUUACCUUCUUACCCCCUGUUUUUAUUGAAGUUCAAAGCAAACAGGAAAAGACUUUUAAAAAGAAGCACAAAAAAAAAAAAAAAGGCAUUCAGUGGUGAGAAAUGACAGCCCUCAGCAUGGCAAGAAUGAGUAGACAGAUGCCUGGAACAGUCAGUGAGAAUUCUCAAUUUUGAGCACAGCAUCACACUGCAAACGGACUAAAUAUAUCACCACUCAUUACAGCAACGUUGUUUGAUGGUAAAGAAAAUUCUCUUUUAUUUUUGAAGUAAAAUUACUGGACACAAAAAUAUGUUACACUAAAGAGAACUUUUUAAUUUUUGAAAUUGAAAGCUCAGUUAUACAAAUCACCAGAAACUGACGGAGUCUCACUCUGUCGCCCAGCCUGGAGUGCA
rnacentral:lncRNA from 1 species